CGAAGGUUUAGGAAUUACAGUGUGUGCGCUGCAUGUGGAAUGGGGCACUUAAAUCCGUGCGGAAUUGUAUGAACCAAGGACCUAAAACAAGUGAUAUCAAAUGUUUUCGAAGUACGAAUACAGAGAGAAAUACUAGUUAUUGUGGAGAACGAGAACAGCAGUUGCCUGUAAGCUGGAGUGACAUGCCAGAGGAGUCCCACCACACUCGUCAUCAGGGCCCAAUGGGUGAAGCAAUGGUUGGAGUGAAACUGGCAACAGUCGCUUACAGACCAGCAC
ensembl:lncRNA